rnacentral:snRNA from 1 species
UGGAAUAAUACAGAGAAGAUUAGCAAGGAUGACAUGCAAAUACAUGAAGCAUCCCAUAUUUUU